AUACGGAGGGUGCAAGCGUUAUCCGGAUUUAUUGGGUUUAAAGGGUCCGUAGGCGGACCGAUAAGUCAGUGGUGAAAUCUCAUAGCUUAACUAUGAAACUGCCGUUGAUACUGUCGGUCUUGAGUAAAUUAGAGGUAGCUGGAAUAAGUAGUGUAGCGGUGAAAUGCAUAGAUAUUACUUAGAACACCAAUUGCGAAGGCAGGUUACCAUGAUUUAACUGACGCUGAGGGACGAAAGCGUGGGGAGCGAACAGGAUUAGAUACCCUGGUAGUCCACGCCGUAAACGAUGCUAACUCGUUUUUGGGGCGCAAGCUUCAGAGACCAAGCGAAAGUGAUAAGUUAGCCACCUGGGGAGUACGUUCGCAAGAAUGAA
rnacentral:rRNA from 1 species